rnacentral:rRNA from 1 species
AUUGAACGCUGGCGGAAUGCUUUACACAUGCAAGUCGAACGGCAGCACGGACUUCGGUCUGGUGGCGAGUGGCGAACGGGUGAGUAAUGUAUCGGAACGUGCCCAGUCGUGGGGAUAACGUAGUGAAAAUUACGCUAAUACCGCAUACGAUCUAUGGAUGAAAGCGGGGGAUCGCAAGACCUCGCGCGAUUGGAUCGGCCGAUAUCAGAUUAGGUAGCUGGUGGGGUAAAGGCCCACCAAGCCAACGAUCUGUAGCUGGUCUGAGAGGACGACCAGCCAAACUGGAACUGAGACACGGUCCAGACUCCUACGGGAGGCAGCAGUGGGGAAUUUUGGACAAUGGGCGAAAGCCUGAUCCAGCCAUUCCGCGUGCAGGAUGAAGGCCCUCGGGUUGUAAACUGCUUUUGUACAGAACGAAAAGGUUUCUACUAAUACUAGGAGCUCAUGACGGUACUGUAAGAAUAAGCACCGGCUAACUACGUGCCAGCCGCCGCAGUAA